GUGGAUUAGAUACCCUGGUAGUCCACCCCGUAAACGUUGGGAACUAGUUGUGGGGUCCAUUCCACGGAUUCCGUGACGCAGCUAACGCAUUAAGUUCCCCGCCUGGGGAGUACGGCCGCAAGGCUAAAACUCAAAGGAAUUGACGGGGACCCGCACAAGCGGCGGAGCAUGCGGAUUAAUUCGAUGCAACGCGAAGAACCUUACCAAGGCUUGACAUACACGAGAACGGGCCAGAAAUGGUCAACUCUUUGGACACUCGUGAACAGGUGGUGCAUGGUUGUCGUCAACU
rnacentral:rRNA from 1 species